UUAACAAUUAACUGAAUGAUGGAACAGCCCGAAACAAUUCAGAUUGGGAAAGUUGUUGCUCAAGGUGCUGCACAAUAGUUUAAAAAGAAAUCAGGAUAAAGGAACUUCAGUCAGUCUACAAAUUGAAGGAUCUCAAAGUUCAUCUGUUUAACUGCGAAGAUCAACAAUACUGGUACCACCCAAUAACAACAGCAAUAUCCUCUUUGCUCUUCAAAAAGGAUUCCCAGGUCAUGCCAAGCCACUGUCAGAGUCUUGCUCUGAGCUAUACCAGCCCACACCAUGCUGCUGCCAGAGGCCCACUCCACAUAGAGACGUGAGUCCCACUCCAGGCUUCACAGGCCAGCCGACUCUGUAGCCAUGCUGCCUCUGAAAAUGUUGCCGCAGAUCUGGAGCCCAGCGAAGCCACCUUCCUACAGAAGAGCUCUUUUUAUCAGUAGGUUCAAGCAAAAAUGAAAUAAAAGUGGGAAAACAAGAAGGGGAAAAACGUAAAAGAAAAAUUGGACGAAGAGGACAAGCCCAGGCACAGAAGCACUUUGGAAUACAAUAUGCCAGAGAGAAGGAACUGAGGCACACAGAAUGGGAUCACAAGACAUAGGAGCAGAAAUUAGGCCAUUCACCCCAUCAAGUCUGCUCUGCCAUUCAAUCAUGGC